rnacentral:rRNA from 1 species
GCUUCUUUGCUGACGAGUGGCGGACGGGUGAGUAAUGUCUGGGAAACUGCCUGAUGGAGGGGGAUAACUACUGGAAACGGUAGCUAAUACCGCAUAACGUCGCAAGACCAAAGAGGGGGACCUUCGGGCCUCUUGCCAUCGGAUGUGCCCAGAUGGGAUUAGCUAGUAGGUGGGGUAACGGCUCACCUAGGCGACGAUCCCUAGCUGGUCUGAGAGGAUGACCAGCCACACUGGAACUGAGACACGGUCCAGACUCCUACGGGAGGCAGCAGUGGGGAAUAUUGCACAAUGGGCGCAAGCCUGAUGCAGCCAUGCCGCGUGUAUGAAGAAGGCCUUCGGGUUGUAAAGUACUUUCAGCGGGGAGGAAGGGAGUAAAGUUAAUACCUUUGCUCAUUGACGUUACCCGCAGAAGAAGCACCGGCUAACUCCGUGCCAGCAGCCGCGGUAAUACGGAGGGUGCAAGCGUUAAUCGGAAUUACUGGGCGUAAAGCGCACGCAGGCGGUUUGUUAAGUCAGAUGUGAAAUCCCCGGGCUCAACCUGGGAACUGCAUCUGAUACUGGCAAGCUUGAGUCUCGUAGAGGGGGGUAGAAUUCCAGGUGUAGCGGUGAAAUGCGUAGAGAUCUGG